rnacentral:snRNA from 1 species
GGGCAUGAGGGUGAUCUGGCUGUGACACCUGUCACCCCACUGACCACCAGGGUUGAUUCAGCUGAUCGGCUGGCUGGGCAGGUGUCCCCUUCCUCCCUCACUGCUCCAUGGGCAUCCCCCCUGAAGCUGCACGCUUGAUUGAAGAGGACGACUUUUCCUGCAAGAGGAGGACCCGUCUUCACUCAAGGGUAUAUGAGUAGCUGGGCUCCCCUGCUAGGACCUCCAAACAAGCUGAAUACAAGCUCAGACUGAAUAACACAUAAACGGCAUAAGUUUAUUUUCUCACACUUCUGGGGGCUGAGGA